rnacentral:rRNA from 1 species
CACUGGUUUACCGGUUGUACCGCCAGGUGCACCGCCGGGUAUCUAAGUCUGGAAAGGAUAAGUGCUGAAAGCAUCUAAGUACGAAGCCAACCUCAAGAUAAGAUUUCCUUACGAGGGUCGUCAAAGACGAUGACGUUGAUAGGCUGCAGGUGUAAGGUCAGUAAUGGCGAAGCCGAGCAGUACUAAUAGCCCGAAACUUUCUUAUC